UGCGAACUCCUACGGGAGGCAGCAGUAGGGAAUCUUCGGCAAUGGGGGGAACCCUGACCGAGCAACGCCGCGUGAGUGAAGAAGGUUUUCGGAUCGUAAAGCUCUGUUGUUAAGGAAGAACGAGUGUGAGAAUGGAAAGUUCAUACUGUGACGGUACUUAACCAGAAAGGGACGGCUAACUACGUGCCAGCAGCCGCGGUAAUACGUAGGUCCCGAGCGUUGUCCGGAUUUAUUGGGCGUAAAGCGAGCGCAGGCGGUUAGAAAAGUCUGAAGUGAAAGGCAGUGGCUCAACCAUUGUAGGCUUUGGAAACUGUUUAACUUGAGUGCAGAAGGGGAGAGUGGAAUUCCAUGUGUAGCGGUGAAAUGCGUAGAUAUAUGGAGGAACACCGGUGGCGAAAGCGGCUCUCUGGUCUGUAACUGACGCUGAGGCUCGAAAGCGUGGGGAGCGAACAGGAUUAGAUACCCUUGUAGUCCU
rnacentral:rRNA from 1 species